AAACGACUCUCGGCAACGGAUAUCCCGGCUCUCGCAUCGACGAAGAACGUAGCGAAAUGCGAUACUUGGUGUGAAUUGCAGAAUCCCGUGAACCAUCGAGUUUUUGAACGCAAGUUGCGCCCGAUGCCAUUAGGCUGAGGGCACGUCUGCCUGGGUGUCACGU
rnacentral:rRNA from 1 species